rnacentral:rRNA from 1 species
GACGAACGCUGGCGGCGUGCUUAACACAUGCAAGUCGAACGGAAAGGCCCUGCUUUUGUGGGGUGCUCGAGUGGCGAACGGGUGAGUAACACGUGAGUAACCUGCCCUUGACUUUGGGAUAACUUCAGGAAACUGGGGCUAAUACCGGAUAGGAGCUCCUGCUGCAUGGUGGGGGUUGGAAAGUUUCGGCGGUUGGGGAUGGACUCGCGGCUUAUCAGCUUGUUGGUGGGGUAGUGGCUUACCAAGGCUUUGACGGGUAGCCGGCCUGAGAGGGUGACCGGCCACAUGGGGACUGAGAUACGGCCCAGAAUCCUACGGGAGGCAGCAGUGGGGAAUAUUGCACAAUGGGCGGAAGCCUGAUGCAGAAACGCCGCGUGCGGGAUGACGGCCUUCGGGUUGUAAACCGCUUUCGCCUGUGACGAAGCGUGAGUGACGGUAAUGGGUAAAGAAGCACCGGCUAACUACGUG